UACGUAGGUGGCAAGCGUUGUCCGGAUUUACUGGGCGUAAAGAGCGCGCAGGAGGUCGUUCAAGUCGCGUGUGAAAGCCCCCGGCUCAACUGGGGAGGGUCACGCGAUACUGAUCGACUCGAAGGCAGGAGAGGGUAGUGGAAUUCCCGGUGUAGUGGUGAAAUGCGUAGAUAUCGGGAGGAACACCUGAGGCGAAGGCGGGCUACUGGGCCGAUACUGACGCUGAUGCGCGAAAGCCAGGGGAGCGAACGGG
rnacentral:rRNA from 1 species